rnacentral:lncRNA from 1 species
CGGGAGGCUGCCCUCCUUCCUUGGCCCCUGGCCCCUUUCCUCCAUCUUUCAAGCCAGCAAAUAUGAGGGCUCCCCACUCCACCAGCUGAAUGAGUUCCAUGCCCCACAGAACCUGUUUCCAUCCCAUCAGGAGAUGAAACCAAAUGCCACCUGGUUACUCAGGCCUGAAACUUGAAGGUGUUCUUCAUUCCUCCUGUGUCCUCAUUUAUCACCUGCAGUCAAUGAACUCCUCUGGCUCACACCUCUUAGCUAUCUCUUGCAAAAGGUUACCUCUUUGCUUCUUUUUCUUCUUUCUUCAUUUGUAUUUGCCUAUCAAAUGAGUAAAUCCCACUCUUUCAUCCCAGACCACAAGAGUCACGACCUCACGGCCUUUAUCCAUGCUCUAUCUUUAUCUCUGACACCCGGCUAGAUGUGGGUGGGACACAUGACAGGCACUGGAUACAUAUUUGUUGAAUCAAUAUUUCUUUGUAAAAACUGGAAACAAUAAAAGUCCACUUGACCUUCCUCUGAUCUUACUUCCCCUCCCCAGAGAAAAAUCACUGUCAUCAGUAGUUUCUAUACAUUUACAUAUAGAAAUGUAUUGUUUUAUUUAGUUUUUACAGAAAUGGGGUAAAAGUGUACGUAUUAUCCAGCAACUUGCUUUUUCCACCUAAUGUCUUGGAAAUCUUUCUAUGACAAUAUAUUUGGCUCUACUUCUUUCUUUUUAACUGCUGCAUAGCAUUUCACGAGUCAUCCUUGUGUAUUCAUGUAACCAGUCUGAUGUUAAUGAACCACGACAUUCAAGUAGAUUUAUUGAUUCUGAGGGUAUUUGUCCAUUUGUAGUCGAGACUGCCAAAGUUCUCUCCAAAAAGGCCAAACAUGAGGAAUUCACUUCUUGCUCUCCACGCACGGUCACUAUCGAAGUGUAAGCCAUCAUGGUGCCCAGCUGGGCCUCUCGCUGUCUUCAAACCGCUUCCAGUCCGCCCUCCACACUGCCUGGAACAACGUUUUUGAAAAAAUCAAAUUUAAACAUGUCACUUCCCUCCUUAAAACCGUUCAGUAGCUCCCAGGAACUUU